UGGAGCUCAGCUGGGGUUGCUAGGUGACUGGCGAAGCUCUAUGGUGGUUUCUAGGUGAUGGGCGGAGCUCUACGGUGGUUGCUAGGUGACGGGCGAAGCUCUACGGUGGUUGCUAGGUGACGGGCAGAGCUCUACUGGGGUUGCUAGGUGAUGGGCGGAGCUCUACGGUGGUUGCUAGGUGACGGGCAGAGCUCUACUGGGGUUACUAGGUGAUGGGCAGAGCUCUACUGGGGUUGCUAGGUAACGGGCGGAACUCUGCUGGGGUUGCUAGGUAACGGGGCAGUGCCUGCUUACUGGUGACGUUACAUUCCAGAGGAUUUUUCAAACCGUUUAUUUUCCAGGCA